GAGACCUGGCGGAUGUAAAGUGUUCACUGGUGAACGACACGGAGAGAAGAUCUGACUCUGAGGUUGACAGGCGUCAUGGUGAUGACGAAUUCAGAGACAAACCCAGAAACCAGCCGGGAGAAGAGAAACUCCCAAGACUUCACUCGCCGGGCCUGCCCAGAGAUGAGCCAAGAUGCAUUCGCUCUGAGCCACGUGGUGGUGGUGGUGGUUGUGGUGGCUGUGGUGGUGGUGGUGGUGGUUGUGGUGGUGGUGGUUGUGGUUGUGGUGAUGGUGGUGGUGGUGGUUGUGGUGGUGCUGGUGGUGGAUUAAGUGGCGCUUUCAGCCGGGCUGGAUCGUACCACGGCUACCCGCUCCUGGUGAUACCCGAACUUCAGGGACGAUAUCCAGCACCAACACCACCACCAGCACAC